rnacentral:rRNA from 1 species
GACGAACGCUGGCGGCGUGCUUAACACAUGCAAGUCGAACGGAUAGGGCCUGCUUUUGUGUGUUGCUCGAGUGGCGAACGGGUGUGUAACACGUGCGUAAUCUGCCCUUGACUUUGGUGUAACUUCAGGAAACUGGGUCUUAUACCGGAUUUGAGCUCCUGCUGCAUGGUGGGUGUUGGAAAGUUUCGGCGGUUGGGGAUGGACUCGCGGCUUAUCAGCUUGUUGGUGGGGUAGUGGCUUACCAAGGCUUUGACGGGUAGCCGGCCUGAGAGGGUGACCGGCCAGAUUGGGACUGAGAUACGGCCCAGACUCCUACGGGAGGCAGCAGUGGGGAAUAUUGCACAAUGGGCGGAAGCCUGAUGCAGCAACGCCGCGUGCGGGAUGAAGGCCUUCGGGUUGUAAACCGCUUUCGCCAGUGACGAAGCGAAAGUGACGGUAAUGGGUAAAGAAGCACCGGCCAACUACGUG